UACGGAGGGUGCAAGCGUUGUCCGGAUUUAUUGGGUUUAAAGGGUACGUAGGCGGAUAUUUAAGUCAGUGGUGAAAUCCCGCAGCUCAACUGUGGAACUGCCAUUGAUACUGGAUAUCUUGAGUACGCUUGAAGUUGGCGGAAUUCCACAUGUAGCGGUGAAAUGCAUAGAUAUGUGGAGGAACUCCGAUAGUGAAGACAGCCAACUAGAGCGUAACUGACGCUGAGGUACGAAAGCGUGGGUAGCGAACAGG
rnacentral:rRNA from 1 species